rnacentral:siRNA from 1 species
UGAUGAUGAUACUUGACCUCGU